AGUCGAGAAUCUUCCGCAAUGGACGAAAGUCUGACGGAGCGACGCCGCGUGCGGGAUGAAGGCCCUUGGGUUGUAAACCGCUGUCAGAGGGGAUGAAAUCUUCGGAGGUACUCCUCCGAAGUUGACAGAGCCUCAAAGGAAGCACGGGCUAAGUACGUGCCAGCAGCCGCGGUAACACGUACUGUGCGAACGUUAUUCGGAAUCACUGGGCUUAAAGGGUGCGUAGGCGGCGAAUCAAGUCAGGUGUGAAAGGCCUGAGCUCAACUGAGGCAUUGCGCUUGAAACUGAUUUGCUUGAGUAUCCCAGGGGUGUGCGGAACUGCCAGUGGAGCGGUGAAAUGUGUUGAUAUUGGCAGGAACACCGGAGGCGAAAGCGGCACACUGGGGGAUAACUGACGCUGAGGCACGAAAGCCAGGGGAGCGAA
rnacentral:rRNA from 1 species